ACGUAGGUACGUUGCCAUGUUAAUUAAAUGAAAUACAAUAACUAGGUUAUUAAACUUAGUUAAAAGCCUAACAAAAUAAGUAAAGGAAUGAAACUUGUGGCAACUAUGAUGGUGUGACAAACUUGAGGGACUAGAAUUGCCAAAUGUGAAAUUGAAUUUAAUUAAAACAAAAAUCACACACACACAAGGAGUGUGUGUGCGUGAGAUCGAUCAGGAGAAGAGGAAGAAAGGGGUGAAACCCUAAUUCAAGAAAAUCAUCAAAUUGAGAGGGAAAUUCACCUCGGAUCUAAUGCAUGUACAUGAAUUCAUGAUCAUCUAGCCCUAUAAAUCACUUGGAACUACAUUAACACGUACUCAAGCUUGGAAGGCUAACGGGUCAAGAUGAGGCAAGGAAGCGGCUACGAACACGGAUGCACAAGGUAUGCUAUGGUAGUCCAUCGUGAAGUUUUGAGGAAUUGGAAUGCAAGAUUGUACUCGGAAGGAUAAUCGAAAAGUCUGGCACACAUAGAAAGAUUGCGGCGUGGUCAAUUAAUUAUGUAUGAUAGAUUAUGA